rnacentral:lncRNA from 1 species
GGGUUCGGUUCCAGCUGUCACGGGAAGAGUAACUUCUCCUUCCACCUUGAUGGCUUCUCCGGCGAAACCCACCAGGGGCGUGGAGACUCUUUCGAGCCGAUCAGCCGACAGUCGCAUUCGAAAGAAGUUCGAGUAAAACAAAACAUUGGUCGAACUUCCAUUAUCAACAAAGAUCCUUCUUACAUCAUAAUUUGCUAUUGUUGCCGAGACAACAACAGCGUCAUCA